ACUGGAUUCCAAAAUUCCAAAUCGUGUUUAUAAGUUGCCAAAAAAGAUCAACGUCUCAAUAAAGACUGAGAGGUCGAAACGUUGAUUUUUUUUUGCAACUAAUAAACACGAUUUGGAAAUUUGAAAUCCAGU